rnacentral:rRNA from 1 species
GACGAACGCUGGCGGCGUGCUUAACACAUGCAGUCGAACGGAAAGGCCCCAGCUUGCUGGGGUACUCGAGUGGCGAACGGGUGAGUAACACGUGGGUGAUCUGCCCUGCACUCUGGGAUAAGCCUGGGAAACUGGGUCUAAUACCGGAUAGGACCGUGCUUUAGUGUGUGCGGUGGAAAGUUUUUCGGUGCAGGAUGAGCCCGCGGCCUAUCAGCUUGUUGGUGGGGUAAUGGCCUACCAAGGCGGCGACGGGUAGCCGGCCUGAGAGGGUGUACGGCCACAUUGGGACUGAGACACGGCCCAGACUCCUACGGGAGGCAGCAGUGGGGAAUAUUGCACAAUGGGCGCAAGCCUGAUGCAGCGACGCCGCGUGGGGGAUGACGGCCUUCGGGUUGUAAACCCCUUUCGGCAGGGACGAAGCUUUUGUGACGGUACCUGCAUAAGAAGCACCGGCUAACUACGU